rnacentral:rRNA from 1 species
AUUGAACGCUGGCGGCAGGCCUAACACAUGCAAGUCGAACGAGUGGCGGACGGGUGAGUAAUGUCUGGGAAACUGCCCGAGGGAGGGGGAUAAGUACUGGAAACGGUAGCUAAUACCGCAUACCAUCGGAUGUGCCCAGAUGGGAUUAGCUAGUAGGUGGGGUAAAGGCUCACCUAGGCGACGGUCCCUAGCUGGUCUGAGAGGAUGACCAGCCACACUGGAACUGAGACACGGUGCAGACUCCUACGGGAGGCAGCAGUGGGGAAUAUUGCACAAUGGGGGCAAGCCUGAGGCAGCCAUGCCGCGUGUAGGAAGAAGGCCUUCGGGUUGUAAAGUACUUUCAGCGGGGAGUCGUUACCCGCAGAAGAAGCACCGGCUAACUCCGUGCCAGCAGCCGCGGUAAUAC